rnacentral:lncRNA from 1 species
GGGGACUGCUGGAGGAGGUGAGUGCAGCGGUGCCACUUGGUGUAUUCUGAGCUGCACUGGCUGCAGCUGCUAACGCAGCUAGGUUCUGUAACUGCAUCGCAUUCAGUCCUCCCAUUGGGUGGAGGCUGCUCAACGUGUUCAGGUUCCCAGACGAGGCUGCUGCUGUUUGCUGAAGGAGUGCUAAGUAUUGCGGUCCAAGCGUGUUGAGACCAGCCAGGUUUCCCCAUACAGAGGCAGCACUGAUCUGUUGCAUUUGUUGCUGGAGUUGCUGAGCAAUUCGUUUCUGCUCUUUGUCCUUCUGCGUGUCUGCAAAUUUUACCACAAUGGGAGAAGAGCAACCCUCCAUGGUUUGUGCUUGGUGCAUUGCUUUGAUUGCUGUUUGCGC